rnacentral:rRNA from 1 species
UGCANUCGAACGGUAACAGGCCGCAAGGUGCUGACGAGUGGCGAACGGGUGAGUAAUGCAUCGGAACGUGCCCAGUCGUGGGGGAUAACGCAGCGAAAGCUGUGCUAAUACCGCAUACGAUCUAUGGAUGAAAGCGGGGGACCGUAAGGCCUCGCGCGAUUGGAGCGGCCGAUGUCAGAUUAGGUAGUUGGUGGGGUAAAGGCCCACCAAGCCAACGAUCUGUAGCUGGUCUGAGAGGACGACCAGCCACACUGGGACUGAGACACGGCCCAGACUCCUACGGGAGGCAGCAGUGGGGAAUUUUGGACAAUGGGCGCAAGCCUGAUCCAGCAAUGCCGCGUGCAGGAAGAAGGCCUUCGGGUUGUAAACUGCUUUUGUACGGAACGAAACGGUCUGGGUUAAUACCCUGGGCUAAUGACGGUACCGUAAGAAUAAGCACCGGCUAACUACGUGCCAGCAGCC